rnacentral:rRNA from 1 species
ACUCAAAUGAAUAGACGGGGGCCCGCACAAGCAGCGGAGCAUGUUGUUUAAUUCGACGCAACGCGAAGAACCUUACCAGGUCUUGACAUCGAUCUAAUCUGUAGAGAUACAGAGUCCCUUCGGGGAAGAGAAGACAGGUGGUGCAUGGUUGUCGUCAGCUCGUGUCGUGAGAUGUUGGGUUAAGUCCCGCAACGAGCGCAACCCUUAUCGUCAGUUACUAACAAGUAAGGUUGAGGACUCUGAUGAGACUGCCGGGGACAACUCGGAGGAAGGUGGGGACGAGGUCAAAUCAUCAUGCCCCUUAUGACCUGGGCUACAAACGUGCUACAAUGGUGGCAACAAAGAGGAGCGAGCAUGUAAGUGUGAGCGGAUCUCAAAAAAGCCAUCCCAGUUCGGAUUGUGGGCUGCAACCCGCCCACAUGAAGUCGGAGUUGCUAGUAAUCGCGAAUCAGCAUGUCGCGGUGAAUACGUUCCCGGGCCUUGUACACACCGCCCGU